GUCUACAGCCAUACUAUCUUGAAUGUACCCGAUCCCUAAUCUCAGAAGCUAACUAGGGUCGGGCCUGGUUAGUACUUGGGUAGGAGAAUAUAAAAUUAAGAUGGUCAUUUUUAAACU
rnacentral:rRNA from 1 species